GAUGAACGCUAGCGGCAGGCUUAACACAUGCAAGUCGAGGGGCAGCGGGAGUAGCAAUACUUGCCGGCGACCGGCGCAAGGGUGCGUAACGCGUGAGCAACAUGCCCGUAUCAGGGGGAUAAUCCAGGGAAACUUGGUCUAAUACCGCAUAAUAAUCAUUUGGGGCAUCUUGGAUGAUUUAAAAUUUCGAUGGAUACGGAUUGGCUCGCGUGACAUUAGCUGGAUGGAGAGGUAACGGCUCACCAUGGCUACGAUGUCUAGGGGUUCUGAGAGGAAGGUCCCCCACACUGGAACUGAGACACGGUCCAGACUCCUACGGGAGGCAGCAGUGAGGAAUAUUGGGCAAUGGGCGAAAGCCUGACCCAGCGACGCCGCGUUGGGGAUGAAGUCCUUCGGGGCGUAAACCCAUGUUGUAGGGGAAGAAGAAAGUGACGGUACCCUACGAGAAAGCCCCGGCCAACUACGUG
rnacentral:rRNA from 1 species